GAGCUCUUGCCGGCGCUCUGCCCGCCCACCACCGCGAUCUGCGGCAGGUCGAGCAGGCAGUUCUGGCCCAGCGCCGCGAAGGCGUCCUGCAGCCGGUUGACGAGCGGGAUGAGCCCCUCCAUCCCGCCGCCGCCUCCUCCACCCGCCGCCGCUGACAGGAUGUGGCGUUAUGCAGCAUUUGGGAAGCACAACAGAAAGGCAGAACUGGACAAGGGAGGGAUGAAGGCAGCCUUUGUAUCAGCUCCUGGGGAAGAAAGGAGAUGGUUUUGGUAAAAUAAAGGGCAUACACACAAACCUA